AUGAACGCUAGCUACAGGCUUAACACAUGCAAGUCGAGGGGCAGCAUUUUAGUUUGCUUGCAAACUGAAGAUGGCGACCGGCGCACGGGUGAGUAACACGUAUCCAACCUGCCGAUAACUCCGGAAUAGCCUUUCGAAAGAAAGAUUAAUACCGGAUAGCAUACGAAUAUCGCAUGAUAUUUUUAUUAAAGAAUUUCGGUUAUCGAUGGGGAUGCGUUCCAUUAGUUUGUUGGCGGGGUAACGGCCCACCAAGACUACGAUGGAUAGGGGUUCUGAGAGGAAGGUCCCCCACAUUGGAACUGAGACACGGUCCAAACUCCUACGGGAGGCAGCAGUGAGGAAUAUUGGUCAAUGGGCGAGAGCCUGAACCAGCCAAGUAGCGUGAAGGAUGAAGGCUCUAUGGGUCGUAAACUUCUUUUAUAUGGGAAUAAAGUUUUCCACGUGUGGAAUUUUGUAUGUACCAUAUGAAUAAGGAUCGGCUAACUCCGUGCCAGCAGCCGCGGUAAUACGGAGGAUCCGAGCGUUAUCCGGAUUUAUUGGGUUUAAAGGGAGCGUAGGUGGAUUGUUAAGUCAGUUGUGAAAGUUUGCGGCUCAACCGUAAAAUUGCAGUUGAAACUGGCAGUCUUGAGUACAGUAGAGGUGGGCGGAAUUCGUGGUGUAGCGGUGAAAUGCUUAGAUAUCACGAAGAACUCCGAUUGCGAAGGCAGCUCACUAGACUGUCACUGACACUGAUGCUCGAAAGUGUGGGUAUCAAACAGGAUUGGAUACCCUGGUAGUCCACACAGUAAACGAUGAAUACUCGCUGUUUGCGAUAUACAGUAAGCGGCCAAGCGAAAGCAUUAAGUAUUCCACCUGGGGAGUACGCCGGCAACGGUGAAACUCAAAGGAAUUGACGGGGGCCCGCACAAGCGGAGGAACAUGUGGUUUAAUUCGAUGAUACGCGAGGAACCUUACCCGGGCUUAAAUUGCAACAGAAUAUAUUGGAAACAGUAUAGCCGUAAGGCUGUUGUGAAGGUGCUGCAUGGUUGUCGUCAGCUCGUGCCGUGAGGUGUCGGCUUAAGUGCCAUAACGAGCGCAACCCUUAUCUUUAGUUACUAACAGGUUAUGCUGAGGACUCUAGAGAGACUGCCGUCGUAAGAUGUGAGGAAGGUGGGGAUGACGUCAAAUCAGCACGGCCCUUACGUCCGGGGCUACACACGUGUUACAAUGGGGGGUACAGAAGGCGGCUACCUGGUGACAGGAUGCUAAUCCCAAAAACCUCUCUCAGUUCGGAUCGAAGUCUGCAACCCGACUUCGUGAAGCUGGAUUCGCUAGUAAUCGCGCAUCAGCCAUGGCGCGGUGAAUACGUUCCCGGGCCUUGUACACACCGCCCGUCAAGCCAUGAAAGCCGGGGGUACCUGAAGUACGUAACCGCAAGGAGCGUCCUAGGGUAAAACUGGUAAUUGGGGCU
rnacentral:rRNA from 1 species